ensembl:lncRNA
UUUCUCCGUGCUGAGGCACAUUUCCCUUCCAAUUACCUCCCAGCACGGUCUCCGGUUACCGGACCGCGAGGCGCACCUGGGCCGCGCAGUAGAGUGUGCAGGGUCUACAAUAUUGUCGAAGUCCGGACUCGGGUCCAGGUAUUUGAAGGACUGGAUGCAUUUGGGGUAAUCAUGUCUUCUCUGGGCGCACGGAGAGAGUUUAAAACCGGACCGCUGUACUUCUUUGACCAGCCAACAGCGCGGGAUCGAUCAUCGGGGACGCGCGUUCUGCAUUUUAGUUUGGCCGACGAAGGCGCCCGCUGGGCAGAAACAGUGCAUAGCUCUUCAAAGAACAAACUUUGUUUUACUAAAGAAGGCGACGACGAGAACAAUGCCCAUACACAGUCACGUGGGUCAUUUGGGAAGAAUAAAGACCACACGGUCAACGGUGAAUCAAACGUUUGUGAUAGGAUCCCAGACCAGAAAGUGGUCGAUCCGUUGGGAGCCUAUAAGGAUGCUGCCCCUGAGCUGCUGGGGGAACUGGAGUCCCUUCUCUCCCGGUACCAGUGGUCCGAGGAGGGCUGUAUUCCACGGGGAGUCGUCAACAUCCUCAACUGCUCGUCACAAGAUCUGACCGCUGUUGUGUUGGAAAGUGGGAAAAGUCCCUUUCAAGGGGCCGACUGCGCAAAACACACUCUGAAUCUGAAAUCACAUAUCCCAGUGGCCGAUAGGAAUACGCCGAAAGAGCUCAUCGUAGAGAGCGUGAGAAAACUGAAAAAGAAGAAGUCCUCCCCAAAACCUCCCUUCGAGAGGAAAGUAAAACCGCGACCAGAUUUGCCAACGAGGGCUUUUUCCCCUGACGCACACAAAGACAGAGCUAAUGCCUCUUCCAGCAUCAGCUUCUCCAUGUCUUCAAAGAUCUGCAAGGACCAAGGAUGGAUCGUGGAGGCCGCGCGGCUGUGCUACGAGGAGCCCCAGCGGAGUGCCGUGUGGCAGUGGGUGCUCCGACGGCUGCAGAGCGCCCAGAUACCAAUAGAGCUGCAAGCCACCAGAGACCGAGAGAGAGGUCUGGACAAGCCUCCCAUAGUCCGCCACUACGGACCGGUCCGGUCCCACUAUAGAAACACGAGGGCCGUCGUAGACGAGCAGCGCCCCUUCGUCCUCGUCCAUGGGAUGCCCCAGAUCCCUCAGGUACACCGAGAGGACCCGUCCGAACGGAAACUUCACUACGGAACCCCGGACGGCUCCUCGGUCGUCUAUUACCCGUCCGGGGGCGUGGCGGUGUGCCAGACCGGAUCGGGUUUGCCCUGCGGAGGCUUCUACACCAACGUGUUCAGCGACCGCCCGAGCCCCGCGGUCAUCGCUAGCAUGACCGCGUUCGGUCGCGGUGCUGCCACGCAUGCCGUCAGUGGGGUCGUCUCGGCUCUUUGGGACCGAGCUGGGGGGAAGCUUUGUGGCCCGGACGGCACCGUGACCAAAGAGUGGUCCUGGCUGGGAGGUUCGGGCUCCAAGGAGAGGGUUCUCAUACAGGUCUCAGAUUCAAUCUCUGUCAAACUACUGAAUGGCACUUCUGGCCUGCUCCGCUUCAAGUGUCAAGGAGAAACGAUCCAACUUCCUCUCUCGGCCCUGUCCAGCAUGCCCCCGCCCACAGACACGGUGUAUGUGGAGCCCAACCAGAGGUUAAUGUCCCGCAAGGAGCCAAUGCUUCCAAAGAGGAGGGUUCCUGGGCACAGUGCAGAGAGCAGGCUACUGCCCGUCCAAACCGUGAGACCAUUUCACUCGCUCUUUUGUGAUGAUGAUCAGGACGACGAUGCUGAUGUCACAGCAGUUACAAAGCAAUACCAUUAAGUGGAUUAUUUUAUCGUACAGUAUGUAUCACUCUAUUCUUUAGUAUCCAAACGGCCUUUAUUUUUGACCUUCAAUAAAGGUUGUAUCAGCGAUUCUAGGCCGAAACAUAAAUGAUCGCAUUCAUCUGAUCUUUCCUCACGAUCCGCUAGCUGCCUGCCCCAUAAGCAGGCCGUCAAACGCGUCUCUAUAGGCAGCUUAUGCUCCGAGGUCGUACACAAAAACGAAUGGUACUACCAACCACUCAAAACCACAAUAAAUAGUAUUCCAACCAAUCACCGACAAGGGGUGGGUGUUGUGGGGUUUUGCGCUGCGUUCAUGAUAGUUUCUACUGGAUGCACCGAACAUGAAAGGGAGGGGCCAACAGGACAUCGCUGAUACAACCUUUAAUCUCCCUUUUGGGAGUAGUUGUACCUGACCAAACAAAAGAACCACCUUUUCUCCUACAUCUGAUUUGUCCCGGAGUCCCUGAAUUCUCCCCUCAUAGCGCAAGCGCUGAGUCACCUUCGGCGAGGACCCCGAGCUAAACGCCAUAUGUUCCUCCCCAUCCAUCAUGUGAUCUCAUCCAUGCACACGAUGGCGUACGACAGCCGUCCCUGCGCCAUCAGGAGGUGCUCCAGAUGGUGGGGGAGCUGGAGGGGCCAGG